GACAGAAGCCACGAACGUUGUUCGGAAUCACUGGGCAUAAAGCGCACGUAGGCGGCUGGGUCCGUCCGAUGUGAAAGCCCCCGGCUCAACCGGGGAAUUGCAUCGGAUACAGCCCGGCUUGAGGACGGUUGGGGUGAGUGGAACUCCUGGUGGAGCGGUGAAAUGCGUAGAUAUCAGGAGGAACACCGGUGGCGAAAGCGGCUCACUGGACCGUAACUGACGCUGAGGUGCGAAAGCCUAGGGGAGCAAACGGG
rnacentral:rRNA from 1 species